GACGAACGCUGGCGGCGUGCUUAACACAUGCAAGUCGAACGGUGAAGCCCAGCUUGCUGGGUGGAUCAGUGGCGAACGGGUGAGUAACACGUGAGUAACCUGCCCAUGACUCUGGGAUAACGUCGGGAAACCGGCGCUAAUACUGGAUAUGUGACUCCACCGCAUGGUGAGGGUCUGGAAAGAUUUAUCGGUCAUGGAUGGACUCGCGGCCUAUCAGCUUGUUGGUGGGGUAAUGGCCUACCAAGGCUUCGACGGGUAGCCGGCCUGAGAGGGCGACCGGCCACACUGGGACUGAGACACGGCCCAGACUCCUACGGGAGGCAGCAGUGGGGAAUAUUGCACAAUGGGCGCAAGCCUGAUGCAGCGACGCCGCGUGAGGGAUGACGGCCUUCGGGUUGUAAACCUCUUUCAGCAGGGAAGAAGCGAGAGUGACGGUACCUGCAGAAGAAGCGCCGGCUAACUACGUGCCAGCAGCCGCAGUAAAAC
rnacentral:rRNA from 1 species